GGGAAUCUUGCGCAAUGGCCGAAAGGCUGACGCAGCGACGCCGCGUGUGGGAGGACGCCUUUCGGGGUGUAAACCACUGUUGCCCGGGACGACCACCUCUAUUCGUAGAGGCUGACGGUACCGGGUGAGGAAGCACCGGCUAACUCCGUGCCAGCAGCCGCGGUAAUACGGAGGGUGCGAGCGUUGUCCGGAAUCAUUGGGCGUAAAGGGCGCGUAGGUGGUGGGGUCAGUCUGUGGUGAAAGCGCGGGGCUCAACUCCGCGUCGGCCGUGGAUACUGCUUCACUUGAGCACUGUAGAGGCAGGCGGAAUUCCGGGUGUAGCGGUGGAAUGCGUAGAGAUCCGGAAGAACACCGGUGGCGAAGGCGGCCUGCUGGGCAGUAGCUGACACUGAGGCGCGACAGCGUGGGGAGCAAAC
rnacentral:rRNA from 1 species